GCCUUAACUAACUCAUACAGAAGUUGAUGGAGAAGCACUGAAAUGACUGCAGGCAUUCUGCUAAGAGAACCAUCUGGAACAAUGUACCAGACCAUCACUGUCAAGGAUUGGGGCUUAACUCUUCCAUAACCUAUCUCCUAGCUAGUCUCAGCUCUGGACUUCCAGUUUUUACCUUGAGAUGGAUCUGAUUCCUCCUGAGUGCUUUAACUCACCUACAGAAAGUAGACCAGGAAAAAAUAGCAGGAACAAAAAGGAACAAGAUUUUUCUUCCCACUGAUGUGUUUUUAUAGUCGAAAUGGGACAGCCUGGAAAAUCAAUGAUCAAGAUAGGC